UACGAAGGGGGCUAGCGUUGUUCGGAAUUACUGGGCGUAAAGCGUAUGCAGGCGGAUCGUUAAGUCGGGGGUGAAAUCCCGAGGCUCAACCUCGGAACUGCCUUCGAUACUGGCGACCUUCGAGUCCGGGAGAGGUGAGUGGAACUCCGAGUGUAGAGGUGAAAUUCGUAGAUAUUCGGAAGAACACCAGUGGCGAAGGCGGCUCACUGGCCCGGUACUGACGCUGAGAUGCGAAAGCGUGGGGAGCAAACAGG
rnacentral:rRNA from 1 species